rnacentral:rRNA from 1 species
AUGGGGGCAACCCUGAUCCAGCCAUGCCGCGUGUGUGAAGAAGGCUUUCGGGUUGUAAAGCACUUUCAGUGAGGAGGAAAACCUUACGACUAAUACUCGUGAGGCUUGACGUUACUCACAGAAGAAGCACCGGCUAACUCCGUGCCAGCAGCCGCGGUAAUACGGAGGGUGCGAGCGUUAAUCGGAAUUACUGGGCGUAAAGCGCGCGUAGGCGGCUUUGUCAGUUG